GAUCUCGUUCCACUCUGAUCGGCUGACGGUGAGAGUAACACGUGAGGAACGUGCCCUUUGGUUCGGAACAACCCAGUGGAAACUUGGGCUAAUACCGGAUAAUCCCUUACGGGGAAAGAUUAUCGCCGAAGGAUCGGCCCGCGUCUGAUUAGCUAGUUGGUGGGGUAAUGGCCCACCAAUGCGACGAUCAGUAUCUGGUCUGAUAGGAUGAUCAGUCUCACUGGGACUGAUACACGGUCCAUACUCCUACGGGAGGCAUCAGUGGGGAAUAUUGGACAAUGGGCGCAAGCCUGAUCCAGCCAUGCCGCGUGGGUGAUGAAGGCCCUAGGGUUGUAAAGCCCUUUCGGCGGGGAAGAUAAUGACUGUACCCGUAUAAGAAGCCCCGGCUAACUUCGUGCCAGCAGCCGCGGUAAU
rnacentral:rRNA from 1 species